CCUAGUGUUGGUCAGUAGUCGGAUCCUCCCAAGUUCUUGAAGCUUGUCGAGGUCCUUCGACGGCAGUCGAGGAUCCAAGGAGCGCAUGAUUUCCUCUGUGGACUUAGUAGGUGGACGAAGGACUGGGGAGUUGACCGGAGUUGCAGCGGGCGAAGCUGCCGGCCGGCCGGAGCCGGAGGUCCCGCGCCUUGCUCACGUAGAGCUCCUUGACGUUGGUGCCCUGCUGGCUGAGCAAGCGAGCGAGGCUGCGCUUGGCGUCCGAGCGGAAGGGGCAAUUGGUGGCCAUGAAGCCGUCCACCAGGUGGAGGUAGGCCUCCAGGUCGUGGCAGCAGGCUGCGUCGGCGUCGGGCCGCAGGUAGGGGGACAUCCGGUUGUCCACCCGCAGCUCCCGCCCGACGUGCGCGUAGCCGUCGGCGCGCGCGGGGAGCACGCAUGGCACGCGCGUGACCAGGUCGUGCGCGUUCACCACCCGCAGCACCUUGACCGCCCGCCGCUCGACCCGGUCCGCGAACGCCUGGUUCCCCACCCGCGGGCCGCCAAAGGAGAACACCGCUGUCGGCACGUGCGGCGACACGCUCGCCGCCAGCUCGUCCGCCACCAGCACCGCCAGCGCCGCCCCCAGGCUGUGCCCCACCACCGUGAUGCUCAGCUCCUCCCCUGCGUACUGUUCCAUCAGCCUCCGCACCUCCUCCGCCACCAUCGACGACAGGCUCGGCGCGUCUGGCCCCGCCGUCUUGAACAGGCUGCGAAACCCGCAUUCCACCUUCGGCACAGUUCCUCGGGGCUUCUCUGUCUGCUCCCCCUCCGAGGAUUCCUCCUCCUCGGCCUCCUGCUCCUCCUCGUCUAUUGGUACGAGCCAGGUGCGGAAGUUCUCGGCCCACUCCAGGCAG
rnacentral:lncRNA from 1 species